rnacentral:misc_RNA from 1 species
GAUGAAGAACGUAGCGAAAUGCGAUAAGUAAUGUGAAUUGCAGAAUUCAGUGAAUCAUCGAAUCUUUGAACGCACAUUGCGCCCGCCAGUAUUCUGGCGGGCAUGCCUGUUCGAGCGUCAUUACAACCCUCAGGCCCCCGGGCCUGGCGUUGGGGAUCGGCGGAAGCCCCCUGCGGGCACAACGCCGUCCCCCAAAUACAGUGGCGGUCCCGCCGCAGCUUCCAUUGCGUAGUAGCUAACACCUCGCAACUGGAGAGCGGCGCGGCCACGCCGUAAAACACCCAACUUCUGAAAGGUUGACCUCGAAUCAGGUAGGAAUACCCGCUGAACUUAAGCAUAUCAAUAAGCGGAGGA